GCCACGGUGGUCUAGCGGUUAGAACGCUGGCCUUGUAAUCCUGGAAGGGGGGGUCUCGGGUUCGAUUCCCGGCGGUGCCC
rnacentral:tRNA from 1 species